CGCGAGGUAGAGCAGUUGGCAGCUCGUCAGGCUCAUAACCUGAAGGCCGGUGGUUCGAGUCCACCCCUCGCUA
rnacentral:tRNA from 2 species